GAUGAACGCUGGCGGCGUGCCUAAUACAUGCAAGUCGAGCGAACAGACGAGGAGCUUGCUCCUCUGACGUUAGCGGCGGACGGGUGAGUAACACGUGGAUAACCUACCUAUAAGACUGGGAUAACUUCGGGAAACCGGAGCCAAUACCGGAUAACAUGUUGAACCGCAUGGUUCAACAGUGAAAGACGGUUUUGCUGUCACUUAUAGAUGGAUCCGCGCCGCAUUAGCUAGUUGGUAAGGUAACGGCUUACCAAGGCAACGAUGCGUAGCCGACCUGAGAGGGUGAUCGGCCACACUGGAACUGAGACACGGUCCAGACUCCUACGGGAGGCAGCAGUAGGGAAUCUUCCGCAAUGGGCGAAAGCCUGACGGAGCAACGCCGCGUGAGUGAAGAAGGUCUUCGGAUCGUAAAACUCUGUUAUUAGGGAAGAACAAAUGUGUAAGUAACUAUGCACGUCUUGACGGUACCUAAUCAGAAAGCCACGGCUAACUACGUG
rnacentral:rRNA from 1 species